UGCUCGCUGAUGCAAUGGUUAGCACGUGGCCUCAAGAUGAAUGUUUCGAGACAUAUUCUAGACGUUGUCGCGACUCAUUGAAUUUGCACGGUCAAGAUGUCGGUUCGAUUCCGCGCACGGGCAC